rnacentral:rRNA from 1 species
UUCCUACGGGUGGCAGCAGUGGGGAAUCUUGCGCAAUGGGCGAAAGCCUGACGCAGCGACGCCGCGUGAGUGAUGAAGGCCUUCGGGUUGUAAAGCUCUGUGGGGAGAGAAGAAUUAGUGCAGCCUAAUACGUUGCAUGAUGACGGUAUCUCCUUAGCAAGCACCGGCUAACUCUGUGCCAGCAGCCGCGGUAAGACAGAGGGUGCAAACGUUGUUCGGAAUUACUGGGCGUAAAGCGAGUGUAGGCGGUCUCAUAAGUCCGGUGUGAAAGCCCCGGGCUCAACCCGGGAAGUGCACUUGAAACUGCGAGGCUAGAGUAUCGGAGAGGUUGGUGGAAUUCUCGGUGUAGAGGUGAAAUUCGUAGAUAUCGAGAGGAACACCGGUGGCGAAGGCGGCCAACUGGACGAAUACUGACGCUGAGACUCGAAAGCGUGGGGAGCAAACAGGAUUAGAUACCCGGGUAGUCAAU